UACGGAGGGUGCAAGCGUUAAUCGGAAUUACUGGGCGUAAAGGGCGCGUAGGUGGUUACGUAAGUUGGCUGUGAAAUCCCUGGGCUUAACCUAGGGUGGUCAGUCAAUACUGUGUGACUAGAGUACGAUAGAGGGUAGUGGAAUUUCCGGUGUAGCGGUGAAAUGCGUAGAUAUCGGAAGGAACACCAGUGGCGAAGGCGACUACCUGGAUCGAUACUGACACUGAGGCGCGAAAGCGUGGGGAGCAAACAGG
rnacentral:rRNA from 1 species